rnacentral:SRP_RNA from 1 species
GAUCGGGUCCUAUGCAAUGAAGAACCGGUGAACCCCGCCAGAUCUGGAAGGAAGCAACGGUAGCCUAGGGUCUCAUGUGCCGUAGGGUGCCUGAUCACC